rnacentral:tRNA from 1 species
GUGUCUGUAGCUCAAUGGUAGAGCCUCCCGCUGUGACCGGGACGACGACGGGUCAGAACCGUCCAGACACC